AUGAACGCUGGCGGCGUGCCUAAUACAUGCAAGUCGAGCGAACGGACGAGAAGCUUGCUUCUCUGAUGUUAGCGGCGGACGGGUGAGUAACACGUGGAUAACCUACCUAUAAGACUGGGAUAACUUCGGGAAACCGGAGCUAAUACCGGAUAAUAUUUUGAACCGCAUGGGUCAAAAGUGAAAGACGGUCUUGCUGUCACGUAUAGAUGGAUCCGCGCUGCAUUAGCUAGUUGGUAAGGUAACGGCUUACCAAGGCAACGAUGCAUAGCCGACCUGAGAGGGUGAUCGGCCACACUGGAACUGAGACACGGUCCAGACUCCUGCGGGAGGCAGCAGUAGGGAAUCUUCCGCAAUGCGCGAGAGCCUGACGGUGCAACGCCGCGUGAAUGAUGAAGGUCUUCGGAUCGUAAAACUCUGUUAUUAGGGAAGAACAUAUGUGUAAGUAACUGUGCACAUCUUGACGGUACCUAAUCAGAAAGCCACGGCUAACUACGUG
rnacentral:rRNA from 1 species